UGGGGAAUAUUGCACAAUGGGCGAAAGCCUGAUGCAGCGACGCCGCGUGAGGGAUGACGGCCUUCGGGUUGUAAACCUCUUUCAGCAGGGAAGAAGCCACAAGUGACGGUACCUGCAGAAGAAGCGCCGGCUAACUACGUGCCAGCAGCCGCGGUAAUACGUAGGGCGCAAGCGUUGUCCGGAAUUAUUGGGCGUAAAGAGCUCGUAGGCGGUUUGUCGCGUCUGCUGUGAAAGCCCGGAGCUUAACCCCGGGUGUGCAGUGGGUACGGGCAGACUAGAGUGCAGUAGGGGAGACUGGAAUUCCUGGUGUAGCGGUGGAAUGCGCAGAUAUCAGGAGGAACACCGAUGGCGAAGGCAGGUCUCUGGGCUGUUACUGACGCUGAGGAGCGAAAGCAUGGGGAGCGAACA
rnacentral:rRNA from 1 species